CAAUAGCGUAUAUUAAAGCUGUUGCGGUUAAAAAGCUCGUAGUUGGAUUUCUGUCAAGGACAACUGGUCCGCCCUUCGGGUGAGCACAUAGUUUGGUCUUGGCAUCUUGUUGGGAACUGUUGCUGCACUUGGUUGUGUGGCGCAGCGUCCAGCACUUUCACUUUGAGGAAAUUGGAGUGUUUCAAGCAGGCACAUGCCUUUGGACACAGUAGCAUGGAAUAAUUAGAUUGGGCUUUUGCUCCAACUUGUCGGUUUCUGGAGCUGAGGUGAGAAUUAAUGGGGAUUGUUGGGGGCAUCCGAAUUUAGCCGUCAGAGGUGAAAUUCUUGGAUCUGCUAAAGACGGACAACUGCGAAAGCGUUUGCCCAGGAUGUUUUCAUUGA
rnacentral:rRNA from 1 species